rnacentral:rRNA from 1 species
UUUUCGGGCUUCGGCUCGACUCUCCCACCCUUUGUGAACGUACCUCUGUUGCUUUGGCGGCUCCGGCCGCCAAAGGACCUCCAAACUCCAGUCAGUAAACGCAGACGUCUGAUAAACAAGUUAAUAAACUAAAACUUUCAACAACGGAUCUCUUGGUUCUGGCAUCGAUGAAGAACGCAGCGAAAUGCGAUAAGUAAUGUGAAUUGCAAGAAUUCAGUGAAUCAUCGAAUCUUUGAACGCACAUUGCGCCCCUUGGUAUUCCGGGGGGCAUGCCUGUUCGAGCGUCAUUACAACCCUCAAGCUCUGCUUGGAAUUGGGCACCGUCCUCACUGCGGACGCGCCUCAAAGACCUCGGCGGUGGCUGUUCAGCCCUCAAGCGUAGUAGAAUACACCUCGCUUUGGAGUGGUUGGCGUCGCCCGCCGGACGAACCUUCUGAACUUUUCUCAAGGUUUGACCUCGGAUCAGGUAGGGAUACCCGCUGAACUUAAGCAUAUCAAUAAGCGGAGGA